GACGAACGCUGGCGGCGUGCUUAACACAUGCAAGUCGAACGGUGAAGCGCCUUCCUUUUUGGUGGGUGGGGAGGAGUGGCGAACGGGUGGGUAACACGUGAGUAACCUGCCCCCUUCUUCUGGAUAACCGCAUGAAAGUGUGGCUAAUACAGGAUAUUCUGGGUCUGUCGCAUGAUUGGUCUGGGAAAGGUAUUGUUGCGGUGGGGGAUGGGCCCUCGGCCUAUCAGCGUGGUGGUGGUGUGAGGGCCUACCAAGGCAGUGACUGGUAGCCGGCGUGGGAGGUCGGUCGGUCGUCCUGGAAGUGGGACACCGCCCCUGCGCCUACGGGAGGCACCAGGGGGGAAUAGUGCACAAUGGGCGCAAGCCUGCUGCAGCGAGGCCGCGUGUGGGAGGGCGGCGCUCGGUUUGUGAAGCUCUUUCGCCAGUGAUGCAGGUCUGCCUCGUUUGUGGGUGGGUUGACGGUAGCUGGAUAAGAAGCGCCGGCUAACUACGUG
rnacentral:rRNA from 1 species